rnacentral:rRNA from 1 species
GUACACUCCUGCGGGAGGCAACAGUGGGGAAUUUUGGACAAUGGGCGAAAGCCUGAUCCAGCAAUGCCGCGUGAGUGAAGAAGGCCUUCGGGUUGUAAAGCUCUUUUGUCAGGGAAGAAACGGUGAGAGCUAAUAUCUCUUGCUAAUGACGGUACCUGAAGAAUAAGCACCGGCUAACUACGUGCCAGCAGCCGCGGUAAUACGUAGGGUGCAAGCGUUAAUCGGAAUUACUGGGCGUAAAGCGUGCGCAGGCGGUUUUGUAAGUCUGAUGUGAAAUCCCCGGGCUCAACCUGGGAAUUGCAUUGGAGACUGCAAGGCUAGAAUCUGGCAGAGGGGGGUAGAAUUCCACGUGUAGCAGUGAAAUGCGUAGAUAUGUGGAGGAACACCGAUGGCGAAGGCAGCCCCCUGGGUCAAGAUUGACGCUCAUGCACGAAAGCGUGGGGAGCAAACAGGAUUAGAAACCCGGGUAGUCC